GAUGAAGAACGUAGCGAAAUGCGAUACGUAAUGUGAAUUGCAGAAUUCAGUGAAUCAUCGAGUCUUUGAACGCACAUUGCGCCCCCUGGUAUUCCGGGGGGCAUGCCUGUCCGAGCGUCAUUGCUGCCCUCAAGCACGGCUUGUGUGUUGGGCCUCCGUCCUCCUCCCGGGGGACGGGCCCGAAAGGCAGCGGCGGCACCGCGUCCGGUCCUCGAGCGUAUGGGGCUUCGUCACCCGCUUUUGUAGGCCCGGCCGGCGCUUGCCGACACAUCAAUCUUUUUUCUAGGUUGACCUCGGAUCAGGUAGGGAUACCCGCUGAACUUAAGCAUAUCAAUAAGCGGAGGA
rnacentral:misc_RNA from 1 species